GGCGCAGUGGUGGAACUGGGAUACACGCGAGUCUCAGAAACUCGUGCUCUAUUCGAGCGUGAGAGUUCGAAUCUCUCCUGCGCCA
rnacentral:tRNA from 2 species